UCAGGAGAUUUUGGACUCUCUGCAGACUGUCCCUGGAUCUUGGGUUAAAAAUCUGUAUUCUAGACUGAACCGUGGGAAGAAAAAAUAGUCAGUGAGUCUUUGGCAAACCGGAGUACUGGAUUUUGUUUAGCAAUUGCAAAUUCCUGAACAUACUGGAUUUACUGGGUAGUGCCAAGUUUAAAGGGAAGUAAGCCAAACUCCAAGUAUUAUGUUUUGCUAAUUUGGCAGCUCGAAUCAAGAGUGGCUGUGAGAUUAUACAUGGUUUGACUUGUCAUUGGUAGACUUCUGUUGAAACAUGAAUUAACUAGUCUUUUAGAAAAUCUGUGGUUUUUCUACUUGAAGGACACAAUGUUUUCCAAACUAGCACAUUUGCAGAGGUUUGCUGUACUUAGUCGCGGAGUUCAUUCUUCAGUGGCUUCUGCUACAUCUGUUGCAACUAAAAAAACAGUCCAAGGCCCUCCAACCUCUGAUGACAUUUUUGAAAGGGAAUAUAAGUAUGGUGCACACAACUACCAUCCUUUACCUGUAGCCCUGGAGAGAGGAAAAGGUAUUUACUUAUGGGAUGUAGAAGGCAGAAAAUAUUUUGACUUCCUGAGUUCUUACAGUGCUGUCAACCAAGG
rnacentral:lncRNA from 10 species